GAAGCUGAUUGGCGGGAUCCCUCACGGAAGAAAGAGGAAACUCUGGUGGAGGCCCGCAGCGAUACUGACGUGCAAAUCGUUCGUCUAACUUGGCUAUAGGGGCGAAAGACUAAUCGAACCGUCUAGU
rfam:Gossypium hirsutum cultivar TM-1 unplaced genomic scaffold scaffold2565.1, whole genome shotgun sequence